rnacentral:rRNA from 1 species
CCUACGGGAGGCAGCAGUGGGGAAUAUUGCACAAUGGGGGAAACCCUGAUGCAGCGACGCCGCGUGAGUGAAGAAGUAUUUCGGUAUGUAAAGCUCUAUCAGCAGGGAAGAAAAUGACGGUACCUGAUUAAGAAGCCCCGGCUAACUACGUGCCAGCAGCCGCGGUAAUACGUAGGGGGCAAGCGUUAGCCGGAUUUACUGGGUGUAAAGGUAGCGUAGACGGCAGCACAAGUCUGGAGUGAAAUGCCGGGGCUUAACCCCGGAACUGCUUUGGAAACUGUGCAGCUAGAGUGCAGGAGAGGUAAGUGGAAUUCCUGGUGUAGCGGUGAAAUGCGUAGAUAUUAGGAGGAACACGAGUGGCGAAGACGGCUUACUGGACUGUAACUGACGUUGAGGCUCGAAAGCGUGGGGAGCAAAAAGGAUUAGAUACCCGUGUAGUC